GUGUAUGUAAUUUAAAAAAAA
rnacentral:tRNA from 1 species